ACGCUCGACACCUACGGGAGGCGGCAGUGGGGAAUAUUGCACAAUGGGGGAAACCCUGAUGCAGCAACGCCGCGUGAGUGAAGAAGUAUUUCGGUAUGUAAAGCUCUAUCAGCAGGGAAGAUAAUGACGGUACCUGACUAAGAAGCUCCGGCUAAAUACGUGCCAGCAGCUGCGGUAAUCUGAGCGGGCUGGCAAGGC
rnacentral:rRNA from 1 species